rnacentral:rRNA from 1 species
UACCAGCACCCCGAGUGGUCGGGACGUUUAUUGGGCCUAAAGCAUCCGUAGCCGGUUCUACAAGUCCUCCGUUAAAAUCCAGCUGCUUAACAGAUGGGCUGCGGAGGAUACUAUAAGACUAGGAGGCAGGGAGAGGCAAGCGGUACUCAGUGGGUAGGGGUAAAAUCCGUUGAUCCAUUGAAGACCACCAGUGGCGAAGGCGGCUUGCCAGAAUGCGCUCGACGGUGAGGGAUGAAAGCUGGGGGAGCAACCGG